CCAUCAGCAACCAGACCACACAUCUGGACAUCAGUCAACUCUGUCACACACACCCAGUUGCUCUUAUAGUGUUGAUCACCGCUGCUGGAUCUCUGUUGAUUGUUGCUGCAGUCGUGAUGUGCUGCAUCUGCAGGAAAUGUAGAAAAACUGUUACUGCAGUUAAGACACGAGAGGAAGACAGAGCUGAUUCAUCAAAAUCUCAAAAACCGAAAUCAAAGGCAGAUGCUGUGUAUCAAAAUGUCCCCAAAAAACGAUGAUCAUAUGCUGUAUAUACUGGAACUGAUGCCAGAGUACAUAUGGGACAAUACCUCACUCACUUUUGGCUUUAUUCACAUUUAUUUUCUGCAGUAUGUCUGUUCUGUCUUCACUCUUUGUAUCAUAUCUUUUGGUGUUAAUGUGUCUGCUUUAAUUCAGUGGUUCAUCAGUAGCAUAGCACCCUGAAACUCAACUAAAAUGUUCUAUUUUUUGUUCAUCAUAUGGAAAUAAACCUAAUAUUUAUUAUUAAAUGUUAAUCACACCCAUUAGGUGUGCUGUCAUGUCAUUGUCUGUUAUUU